rnacentral:rRNA from 1 species
CGCCUGUUUAACAAAAACAUGUCUUUAAGGUUAUAAUUUAAAGUCUGGCCUGCUCAAUGAUUUUUAAAUGGCUGCGGUAUUUUGACUGUACAAAGGUAGCAUAAUAAUUAGUUCUUUAAUUGUGAACUGGAAUGAAUGGUUGGACGGAAGUUUAGUUGUCUUUGCUUUGAGUUUAAAAUUUUAUUUUUGAGUUAAAAAGCUCAAAUUUUUUAGUGGGACGAGAAGACCCUAUAGAUUUUUAUAAUUUUAUUGGCUUUUUUUGUUGGUAUUUAAGAUUGGUUGAUUAAUUUAUUUGGUUGGGGUGAUUAAUAAAUUUGUUUAACUUUAGUUUUUUUAUACAUUAAUUGAUGGCUUUUUGAUCCUUUUUUAAAGAUUUUAAGAUUAAAUUACCUUAGGGAUAACAGCGUUAUUUUUCUUGAGAGUUCAUAUUUGUGGAAAAGUUUGCGACCUCGAUGUUGGAUUAA